AGAAAUAUGUCUGACAAAAGAAUUACUUUGAUAAGAGUAAACAACAGAGGUUAAAAUCCUCAUAUUUCUA
rnacentral:tRNA from 1 species